rnacentral:rRNA from 1 species
UACGUAGGGUGCAAACGUUGUCCGGAAUUAUUGGGCGUAAAGAGCUCGUAGGCGGUCUGUCGCGUCUGCUGUGAAAACUCAGGGCUUAACCCUGAGCUUGCAGUGGGUACGGGCAGACUAGAGUGCGGUAGGGGAGACUGGAAUUCCUGGUGUAGCGGUGAAAUGCGCAGAUAUCAGGAGGAACACCGGUGGCGAAGGCGGGUCUCUGGGCCGUAACUGACGCUGAGGAGCGAAAGCAUGGGGAGCGAACAGG